rnacentral:lncRNA from 1 species
CUAAAAGGGGGGGUUUGGGGGGGGCUUGCCCCCCCAAGAUUUUUUUGAAACUAGACGCAAAAUCCUGCAUUCUGGCGCAUUCUGGGCAUCAAAUUAUAGUUCUGAAAAUGUCACUUUCACCACUAGCCCCCCCAAGAUUUAAACAAAAAGGCUGCAUUCCUGGCAUAAAACUAUAGUUCUGAAAAUGUCAUUUCUACCACUCCCCCCACCCUAAAAGAUUUAAAAAAAAAAAAUUAGAAACAAAAUCCUGAAUUCUGGCCAUGGC